ACCAGACUCCUACGGGAGGCAGCAGUGGGGGAUAUUGCACAAUGGGGGGAACCCUGAUGCAGCGACGCCGCGUGGGUGAAGAAGCGCCUCGGCGCGUAAAGCCCUGUCAGCAGGGAAGAAAAUGACGGUACCUGAAGAAGAAGCCCCGGCUAACUACGUGCCAGCAGCCGCGGUAAUACGUAGGGGGCAAGCGUUAUCCGGAUUUACUGGGUGUAAAGGGGGCGCAGACGGCGAUGCAAGCCAGGAGUGAAAGCCCGGGGCCCAACCCCGGGACUGCUCUUGGAACUGCGUGGCUGGAGUGCAGGAGGGGCAGGCGGAAUUCCUGGUGUAGCGGUGAAAUGCGUAGAUAUCAGGAGGAACACCGGUGGCGAAGGCGGCCUGCUGGACUGCAACUGACGUUGAGGCCCGAAAGCGUGGGGAGCAAACAGGAUUAGAUACCCCCGUAGUU
rnacentral:rRNA from 1 species